rnacentral:lncRNA from 1 species
AUGAACCCUCCAGCUUGGUGGAUGUGCUGGAGUGAAUCAGAAAGGGCAAGUUUCCUGAAGGCCUGGGUCACCAGCGUGGAAAGCUGUGCCACAGCACGCGUGCCCCUCUGUCAGUCGGCACGAGGUCCCUGCAGGUGCCUGCUCUCUGUGCACCUGGGAACAGCAACUGCAAACCCGAGUGGGUGCCUGCCAGCACACAACAUCCCUCUCACGCGAAGUAAUGCCCUCCUCAUCCCGCAAAGAUGGCAUUUUAUGUGAAACCUCUGCUGUGUAGAGGUAGUUGCAGUGGUAUGCCUUCCCGUCAACGAGAGAGCAAAAUAACCUGUGUUUGGGUAAGGAACAAAGAUUUAUGGUAUAUAUUAAAAAUCACAUUCCUAAGAAAUGUAAUUAAACCAAAGCGUUUUUUUGUUUUGUUUUGUUUUGUUUUGUUUUGUUUUUCCUAACUUGCUUCAAUCUGAAGUGACUGCUCAGAGGCAGCAAAGAGAACAGAUACCCAAAUAACACUCCAGACCCUCUUCUCCAGCUACAGGAGUACACCCCUCCAUUUUCCUCUGCAUCUGAAAUGCCCCAAAAUGAAGGGAGGAUGUCCAGACAUCACACAGUACAGCAGAGCUCCAUUAAAGCCAAUGCAGUUCUUCCCAUUUACAGUAGUCAAAGGAUUCACCCCUAAUUUCUUUCUGCAGAAAAAUGUCCAAAGCAGAUUUCAGAUAUUUUUUGCAAAGCGGUGGAUAGGUAGCAGGUUAAUGUACUGCCUAGAGAUGCUCCCAUGAAUGACCAGGAGAGAAAAGGUCACCUCGCAGGUGUUGCCUAAUUUGCUAUUUCCUCUCUAAAUUGACUUUUGCACUUGUUUUUUUGCAGCGAACAUAGGUACCUCAUGGCACGACUGUAUUAUUCCUAAAAUGAGUUGCUAAUGCUUGAGAAAUACUGUUAACAAAAAGAGUAGUCAGGUAAAAUGCUUGUAAUUAUCACUAAAAUUAGUACCUUUUAAGGAGUGUGUUUACAUGACCCAUCAACAGAUCAGUUAAGUACUUUCAGUACAUUUUAUUUGUAUCUGGCAGAACAAUUUCCUUGCUGAAGUACACCGAUGAGUGGGAGAGACUGUAGUUAACAAAGUAAAUUAGAAAGAACAUGUUUGGGGAGUUUGUAUUUUUUCCCUCCUGUACUUUGUGUAAGGUUUGAAAAGAAAAGCAAGUUUCAAUCCCAAGUUCCAAAAUGCCUCACUUGCUGUACCCUAACUGCCCUUGUCUUUUAAAGCACAAGCCUCUACAGGUCUGAAACAGGGGGAGCUUAAACCAGAAAAGCAAAAAGUAAAAAAAAAGUAAAAGUAAAAAAAGUAAAAGAAAAAAAAGUAAAAAAAGAAAAAAAAAAGAAAAAAGUAAAAGAAAAGUAAAGUCCAGUGGGUUCCACAUUUUCACUACAGACUUUCCUGCAGUUUAUGAAGAUUUUGGGGUGGAGUGUUGGCUUUUUUACAAUUGAUGGUGAAAUGACCCUAGGCUUCAUAAGAGCACACGUUUAAUCUCAAAAUUUAUUUUUUUAAAAUAAAAAUAGCACAUUAGGGAAUGUAUGAGAUUUC